CGGGGGCGGUAGCGGCCGCAGAGGGGCGCACCCCCGGGAGGGACCGGCUCCCCCGGGGUCCGCCCGGCACCGCCGCCGGGGCUCGGUCUGUGCAACCACGUGUUCCCCCGCAGCCUAAAUGAAAUUUAGGAUUUUCGUUAAAAAGUCCCCUGGGGCGUAAUUUAGCCUCUGGACUCGAGCCUAUCUGCUUACAAGUCCUUGGGGGACUCGGCUAGGCAGGCCGGAGUGGGGCCCGGGCGCCCCCGGCAGGCCCGAGAGAGAAGCCCGGCGGCGCUAACAAAGGAGCGGGCGCGGCCGGAGGCCUCGGCCUGCGCGCGGCUCCACGCGCCUCUCACUCGGCGCCUGGCACGGCCGGUAGGACACGCGCGGGGGUGCUGACAGACACAGGGCUGGUUCGUGGUGGGAAAGAGUAGGAACAAAUCCGUACAGAAAACAAAAAAGAUGCCCCAGAAAUCGAAUCUGUGCUACACACACACACACACACACACACACACACUCUGAGUUAGGUCAUUCAAAAAAAUGAUUAGAUCAAUCUUUGGGCCAUAUGGAAUUUCCAUUAAAUUCUAUAAGGCUUCUCUGUCCAAAUCUCUCACCAGUAUCCAGAGGUUUUCUCCUAUGAAGGUAGAGUACCAGCUUUACGUUUCAGAAGGCAGAAAUUUAGCUGAUGUGGAAGCUAAAUCACACUUGUGGGGAGGGUUUGGCAUUUUCCGGUCAGUGGGCAGUGCAGGGCUGGUCCCACACCCGUGGGGGGCUGGAGGAGAGCCCUGGCUGUGAGGCCCACGGGCUGUGCCACCACCAACUGACCUGCCUGAAAUGCAAGUCAGAUUCCUAAGCCUCCUUGUCAGUGGCAACUUUGGAGAUGGAAAUGACCAAGAAGAUGUUAAAACCUUCCUCACUUGCAGUAGGGGCCACUUGGGUACAACGAUGGGCUAAAUCGGGUUUCUCAAAGUAUGGUUCCAGAGUCUUCAGCAUUAGCCUUGCCUAGGAACUUGUGAGAAGCGCCAGUUCCCCCUGAAUCCGACCCUCUCGGGGUGUAAAUUUUAACAAGCUCCCCAAGUGUCUAAGACACCCUUCAGUGUGAAAAUCACCAGGGCAAAUAAUCCUGGCUGAUGGGCACUGGCUACAACCUGCUCCCGCGUUAGACUGCAAGUCUGCACCUUCAAAAGCAAGGAAGGGUGCUGAGUUGCUUAGGUUUUAUUGCAGAUUCUUCUGCUUUUGGAACAGAAUUCUUAUUUUUCCUCCCCAAGGGUUGCUCAGACCAGUAAUGUUUGUCAUUCAAACCCAAGAAUUCUGAAGGGAGUCGGGGAAGCACAGUACUUCAGCAGCAGCUCCACUGUGGGGGCAGAAGAGCAGCUCCCUUGCUAAGAGUCAUCCAGCAUCCCUGGACUUCCGAGGGUAGUGCCACAGAGAGCUGCAAUUUGAGGAGGAUCUCCCAGGCUGGAAUGGGUCCUUCAAAUGUGGAGGAGAGGAGAUGGUAACAAGGGAAGAAGACAAUACACACGGAGUGCCUGCGCUGGGUGAAGGACUGUGUGAGGUGCUGACCUGUGUAGUUAAACUCAGAGUCUCUGAGAGGAUGAUACCCUCCUGGCUCCAUUCACGGCAAGGUUUUAGCUCCAUGGGGAUUGGGACUAUGAGUCUCCCAGUAUCCAGCACAGGGGCCUUCAGAGAACCAGGCCCACAACCGGAAAUAGAGACACCAAGGACCUGAGACCCAGAAGGAGGCGCAGAAGCUGAGAAUAACAGCUCAGGUGAAGAAGCAACUGCAGAAAAGGAAAUCUGGUGCUGAACAAGAAGACAACAGAAGAACAAAGACAAUGGUCACAGAGGGGACAGGAUGUGCCAGGGGACAGUCAGCCUGAGAAGAGGACAAGAACAGACCUUGGCCUCCCUCUCAGUCCCCAAAUCAGAAGGCCUGGUUUGAGACCUUCUUACCCAAAGUGGUGCUUUCUGCAGCCUAUUUGCUUCAGGGCUAAGGGACAAAGGCACUAACUUCUUUCUUUCCAGUUCGAAUGCAACUAGCUUAGAAGGUUGGGCAGUUCAAGGAGCUCUUCCUGUGGGUCUGGUGUGUGGACAGACAGGCAGGCAGGCAGGGGGUGAUGAAGGAGGGUCUCAGCUGCACCAGGGAUCUGCACGGCAGCUGUUUCUAAGGCGGGCAAAUGCAGACUGCCUUAUUUGUGCUGGCUUUGAAAGGCAGCCCAUGUUAGAGGCCUCAACAUGCACAUCAGCCUGGCCCUGCAUCUUUGGUGAGCACAGGGUUGACGUGAUUUGUGGCUGAUUGGGUCCCUGAAGUUGCAGAGGACUCUUUUCCCUUCCUCUGGGUCCUCCAAAGUAUUCAGAGAAAAAUGUAAGGGUUCUGCAUAGGCCUGAGGGUGUAGCACCUACCUGCCCUGCAAGGCGAGACAAUGGGUCCAAUCCCUAGUGCCCCAAAAGACAAGCUCCCCCGCAACAAAAAACUUCUGAGUCAGGCAUGGUGGCACGUGCUUGUAAUCCCAGCACUUGGGAGGCUGAGUGGGAGCUGCAAGUUCUAGGGCAGCCUGAACUACAUGGCAAGAUCCUGUCUCAACAACAACAACCACCACCACAACAACAAAGUUCU